UACGGGGGGGGCAAGCGUUGUUCGGAAUUACUGGGCGUAAAGGGCGCGUAGGCGGUUCGCUAAGUUGGAUGUGAAAACUCUGGGCUCAACCCAGAGCCUGCAUCCAAAACUGGCGGGCUAGAGUCCGGAAGAGGAGAAUGGAAUUCCUGGUGUAGCGGUGAAAUGCGCAGAUAUCAGGAAGAACACCCGUGGCGAAGGCGGUUCUCUGGGACGGUACUGACGCUCAGGCACGAAAGCGUGGGGAGCAAACAGG
rnacentral:rRNA from 1 species